UACGAAGGUCCCGAGCGUUAUUCGGAAUCACUGGGCGUAAAGGGAGCGUAGGCGGCGUGGAAAGUCAGAUGUGAAAUCCCGGGGCUCAACCCCGGAACUGCAUCCGAUACUACCAUGCUAGAGUAUUGGAGGGGUAACUGGAAUUCUCGGUGUAGCAGUGAAAUGCGUAGAUAUCGAGAGGAACACUCGUGGCGAAAGCGAGUUACUGGACAAUUACUGACGCUGAGGCGCGAAAGCAAGGGGAUCAAACAGG
rnacentral:rRNA from 1 species